UACGUAGGGGGCUAGCGUUGUCCGGAUUUAUUGGGCGUAAAGAGCGUGUAGGCGGCCAGGUAGGUCUGCUGUGAAAACUCGAGGCUCAACCUCGAGAUGUCGGCGGAAACCAUCUGGCUAGAGUCCGGAAGAGGAGAGUGGAAUUCCCGGUGUAGCGGUGAAAUGCGUAGAUAUCGGAAGGAACACCAGUGGCGAAAGCGGCUUCCUGGUCCAGCACCGACGUUCAGGCACGAAAGCGUGGGGAGCAAACAGG
rnacentral:rRNA from 1 species